rnacentral:lncRNA from 1 species
UAGUAAGAAUACAUAAUUAAAGGUUCAACAAUAUCAUUCAAGAUAAAUUAAAAUAUUGAUAUACUCAAAAUGUAACGGUAUUCUUUUACAAGAGAAAGAAUAAUUUCAUACAGAUCCACAGUACAUAACUCUUUUACAACACGAAUAAUAAAGUUCAAAAAAAAAAAAAGCUAGCUAAUGUGAGACUGGAUAGUGAUGGUAACCUUUAGCGGCCAGUGAAGAAGUGAAAACCCAAAAGUGCUCCAAUGUUUUUCUAAUACCAAGUUUUGAUGGCGAGUUGAGAGACAUUAGUGGAUUGUAUUUGUACCAAAUGCGUGAAAGAAAUUGUUGUUCUUGUGGAUAUCAAGAAGGCAGACACAGUAAAUAAGAUCUUAUAGCACUCCAUCGAUUAUCUCACCCGGUGACACCACCUCCUGAUCCAGCAAGACGGCAAUGUUACCCUCUUGAUCUUGCAGGACUACCAACCUAUAUAUACAAAAAUGACAUCCACACCAUAAGGUUAGUACAUUAACUAGUUGGGACUUGUCAAUUACGUUUGAACAUAACAACAUUUCCUUUGGCAGGGUAAGAUUUUGCUAGAAACAAAAAUCCGCUUCUUUAAAACCUUAAGAUUAUUAAUGCAAUGUAUAUACCAAAAGACUUGCAAACCGUUCAAAACAUAAGCCUUAUUUAACUCUUCUUAAUUUGAAGUGCAACACUAUAAGAAAAUACUACCAAUAUCAAAAA